GACAGAGGGUGCAAACGUUUGUUCGGAAUUACUGGGCGUAAAGCGUGUGUAGGCGGUCUUCUAAGUCGGGUGUGAAAUCCCUGGGCUCAACCCAGGAAGUGCACUCGAAACUGGAGGGCUAGAGUAUCGGAGAGGUUGGUGGAAUUCUCGGUGUAGAGGUGAAAUUCGUAGAUAUCGAGAGGAACACCGGUGGCGAAGGCGGCCAACUGGACGAAUACUGACGCUGAGACACGAAAGCGUGGGGGAGCAAACAGG
rnacentral:rRNA from 1 species